rnacentral:rRNA from 1 species
GAUGAACGCUGGCGGCGUGCCUAAUACAUGCAAGUCGAGCGAACGGACGAGAAGCUUGCUUCUCUGAUGUUAGCGGCGGACGGGUGAGUAACACGUGGAUAACCUACCUAUAAGACUGGGAUAACUUCGGGAAACCGGAGCUAAUACCGGAUAAUAUUUUGAACCGCAUGGUUCAAAAGUGAAAGACGGUCUUGCUGUCACUUAUAGAUGGAUCCGCGCUGCAUUAGCUAGUUGGUAAGGUAACGGCUUACCAAGGCAACGAUGCAUAGCCGACCUGAGGGGGUGAUCGGCCACACUGGAACUGAGACACGGUCCAGACUCCUACGGGAGGCAGCAGUAGGGAAUCUUCCGCAAUGGGCGAAAGCCUGACGGAGCAACGCCGCGUGAGUGAUGAAGGUCUUCGGAUCGUAAAACUCUGUUAUUAGGGAAGAACAUAUGUGUAAGUAACUGUGCACAUCUUGACGGUACCUAAUCAGAAAGCCACGGCUAACUACGUGCCAGCAGCCGCGGUAAUACGUAGGUGGCAAGCGUUAUCCGGAAUUAUUGGGCGUAAAGCGCGCGUAGGCGGUUUUUUAAGUCUGAUGUGAAAGCCCACGGCUCAACCGUGGAGGGUCAUUGGAAACUGGAAAACUUGAGUGCAGAAGAGGAAAGUGGAAUUCCAUGUGUAGCGGUGAAAUGCGCAGAGAUAUGGAGGAACACCAGUGGCGAAGGCGACUUUCUGGUCUGUAACUGACGCUGAUGUGCGAAAGCGUGGGGAUCAAACAGGAUUAGAUACCCUGGUAGUCCACGCCGUAAACGAUGAGUGCUAAGUGUUAGGGGGUUUCCGCCCCUUAGUGCUGCAGCUAACGCAUUAAGCACUCCGCCUGGGGAGUACGACCGCAAGGUUGAAACUCAAAGGAAUUGACGGGGACCCGCACAAGCGGUGGGGCAUGUGGUUUAAUUCGAAGCAACGCGAAGAACCUUACCAAAUCUUGACAUCCUUUGACAACUCUAGAGAUAGAGCUUUCCCCUUCGGGGGACAAAGUGACAGGUGGUGCAUGGUUGUCGUCAGCUCGUGUCGUGAGAUGUUGGGUUAAGUCCCGCAACGAGCGCAACCCUUAAGCUUAGUUGCCAUCAUUAAGUUGGGCACUCUAAGUUGACUGCCGGUGACAAACCGGAGGAAGGUGGGGAUGACGUCAAAUCAUCAUGCCCCUUAUGAUUUGGGCUACACACGUGCUACAAUGGACAAUACAAAGGGCAGCGAAACCGCGAGGUCAAGCAAAUCCCAUAAAGUUGUUCUCAGUUCGGAUUGUAGUCUGCAACUCGACUACAUGAAGCUGGAAUCGCUAGUAAUCGUAGAUCAGCAUGCUACGGUGAAUACGUUCCCGGGUCU